UCGUAUUAUUGAUUUCAAGAUUUAUUUUUUUAGAAUUUUAUAUAUAGUUGGCAACCAUGCAUAAAUAUAUAAUAUCCUUUUUUUUUAUAUGGGAGUGGAGAAAUUAUUUAGGAAGAAAGAAAAAGAGAAAGAAAAAAAAAGGAUGGGGGGAGGAUGGCUACCUAAUGGCAGCGAAGGAGAGGGGGAGAAAAAAAAAAGAAAGAAGAAGAAGGGCUACUGCCCAAUCAGAAAGAGGAGGGAAGUGAGGGACCAACCAGAGAAGAGAGCAAGGAGGGAAUGGAGGGAGGAAGAGAGGAAGGGGAUCGGCCGGAUCCCACUUGACCCGUGCUAACCAGGUUCGAAACCGGUGAAAUUCCGGCGGUUGUGAGCCAUUUUUCAUGCAAAUUUCAUUCCAUUUCCACUAGCAAUCAUCACUAUACCUCUUCCCCUCCAUUUUCCUAUUAAUAUUCAAUGGAAAUUGGGUUAAAUCCGUGACAUUUGGCAAUGGUGACACCGGCGGGUCUUGUGUCAAUUCUCCCAUUUCUGAAGCAAUUCCUUCUAAUUGCCACCAUCAAUACACUCUCCUAGAACCCAGGAACAAAGCCCAAGCAGUGGUGGAGUCGUCAGAGCAAGUUUGGAGGUCGAAUCGAAUCACACCCAAUUUUAGGGUUCGUGCGGUUUUAGCAAAAUUGGAGCCUUUCUAGGAAAAAUUGGACUUGGCCACAGGUAUAAAAAUUUCUCUACUCAUUGAGAUCUUCAUUUCUGUAAAUUUUGGUAAUUUUUAAAAAUGGUUGAAUUUUUCCUGCAAGUCGGGGCGGCCGACCGCCACCCGCAGCGGCGCGUUUGGCCGCGGCUUGGCCAGUGGGCCGACAGUAUCCUUUUAAGUUCAAUUAGAUACCCUGUUUUCAUAAUUGAUAUCCUUAUGAUAUGGUUUGAUUGUGUGAACCUAAUUUCAUUAUGAUAUGUGGUUAGGUCAAAAUAUGAUUCGACGAUCCGACCGUUGGAUCGUCACCAAACCUUAAUACGUGAUAAAACAUAAUAUUUUUGGAUCAUAGAAACUUACGGAUCAGGAAUCCGACGUAUGGAUCUUUCCGAAUUAGAUUUGUAACUUCGUAAAAUAAAAUGUCCACCACCACUUGAAUUUUGAAAUUGGCAUAGAUCCGACCAUCAUAUCGCGUUGAGAUUUUAGUAUGUUGUUAUUUGAGCAUAAUGUGGACUUUGGAAAGUUACGGAUUGGAAAUCCGAGGUGCGGAUCUUUCGAAUCAAAUUACGUAAGUUUGUGGACCCUACUGUUGAUCGAGAGUUGACUUUUAGGCAACAUGUCAUGAAACGUCCUAAUUAAUAAAAUUAGUACUACGGAAUAUUAAGUGAAGUCUAGUGAGGCUACAUUGGUUAGAGCAUGACUUGUGUAUAUGUGAUAUAGCUAUUACCUUGAUUCUUAUAUUAGUAUCAUAUGUGAUUAUGUCUUGGUCUUAUAAAGGUAAUUUCUAGUGAAAUGUGAUUUUUAUAUAUUUAGCCGUAGACAUAUGUUUAUUUACAUGAUUUGGCUUGGUACUGAUGAUGGUUGUGACAUAUGUGAGUGACUUUAAUAUAGGUGAUAUUGGUGAUUACCUAUGUUUUCAUAAUUAUGAUCCUGUGUGGAUAUGAAUUGGUUUUAUGAAUAUGUUUUCUAUUGAAUUGUUAUUUCCAAUACUUAGACAUCGAUUUAUGUUUAUGAAAUGGGGUUUGGCAUGUAUAUUUGAAAUAUGGUUUGACUUGUAUGAUUGGCAUGUUGUGAUGAAAGGUAAGGACUAGUAAUGGACCGUUAACCAUUGUGAUGGAGAUUUGUUGCUUCGAUAUUGUUUCAUUUCCUGCUUUGUUGAUUAGUUCUAAAUUUAGUAUUUGUGCUUAAUUUCCCUUUGUUGAGCUUUUGUGAAUUAAGUAAUUUGUGCUUGUCUUAUUUCUUUGAGCCGUCGUACAUUAUGGUUGUUGGCCUUUCGCGAUUCUGUUGAGUGAUGGUCCCGGAUCGUAUUCACCUUGUGUUUUAUUGAGUUUGGAUUAAGAUAGCUUCAGAGAUGUAGGCUUCGGCCGAACUGUGUCGCUCUAGCUCGGCAUUCCAAUGAAUUGUAUGUGUUAUUGAUGAUAUGGUGAUUGGCAUUAUUGAUUGAUGUGAUAAUUGGAUGGUGUUGGAAUGCAUAUGUGAGGAUGAAUGACGUUAUGACUAGAGAUUAUUAUUGUGCUUAUUUAAAUGUUCCUUGAGGUGCCGCAUAAUUGAAUUGUGGUGUUAUGUUGAGACCUAGUGGUCUAUGUGAUGAAUGUUCGAGAAUAGUGAAAUGUUGAACUACGAAUGGCUUGAUCCCUAAUGAGGGUACGUAGGCAGUCUAACGAAGAGGUUAGAUGCAGCCAUAAAGUAUACGAAAAAUUAUUGUACAUCUGGAUCUUGAAUGAUACUUUGUAUAUAUUCAGGAGGCGGAGUAUGUUAGAUAUACGGGUUUGGUGUCGUCACGUGUCGAUCCUGGACGUAUGUCUGGAUCGGGGCGUGACACCGUAGACCAAAACGACGCAACAAAAUCCACUGCCUGAUUCCCUGAUCUUGGAACCCAAGACCAGUUGCAAAGGGGUAAUGAAUAACUGAUAUCCAUUAUCCGAGACAAAGCAGAUUCCUUUACACCAAAUUUUCUUGGAAGAAUAUGUGAAAACACAUAAAACAUAAUUUUCUUAUCCCUAUUGUUGUAGUGUGGCUACCUCCACCGUGAAUCAUGCACUGGAGUCUUUUUUGUCUUUUUGGCGUGAAUUAAUUUCAAUGUGUGUUUUAUUAAUGUUUUUGGAUAAAUAAAUUUUAAAUGUAAAGUAAUGCAUUUGAUAUUUU
rnacentral:lncRNA from 1 species